CCUACGGGAUGCAGCAGUGGGGAAUAUUGCACAAUGGGCGAAAGCCUGAUGCAGCAACGCCGCGUGAGCGAUGAAGGCCUUCGGGUCGUAAAGCUCUGUCCUCAAGGAAGAUAAUGACGGUACUUGAGGAGGACGCCCCGGCUAACUACGUGCCAGCCGCCGCGGUACUACGUAGGGGGCUAGCGUUAUCCGGAAUUACUGGGCGUAAAGGGUGCGUAGGUGGUUUCUUAAGUCAGAGGUGAAAGGCUAAGGCUCAACCGUAGUAAGCCUUUGAAACUGGGAAACUUGAGUGCAGGAGAGGAGAGUGGAAUUCCUAGUGGAGCGGUGAAAUGCGUAGAUAUUAGGAGGAACACCAGUUGCGAAGGCGGCUCGCUGGACUGUAACUGACACUGAGGCACGAAAGCGUGGGGAGCAAACAGGAUUAGAUACCCUAGUAGUC
rnacentral:rRNA from 1 species